UUACGAGAUAUAAAUUACGACAAAUCCAAAAAAGAAAAACAUAAAAAAAAAAUUUAUGACAAUAUAUAAAAAGAUAAUGUAAACAAUAAAAAAUACAACAAUCCGCCCAAAACUCACAAAUCAUUUUCAAAUUUCAGGCCAACAUAUUAAAAGAGCCCACAAUAUUAACAUCUAGAUCUAUAUUUGGUAAAAACCCUAAUAGCACACGUUUUUC
rnacentral:lncRNA from 1 species